rnacentral:rRNA from 1 species
GAUGAACGCUAGCGGCAGGCCUAAUACAUGCAAGUCGAGCGGUGUCUUCGGACAUAGUGGCGCACGGGUGCGUAACACGUAUGCAACCUACCUUACAUUGGGGGAUAGCCUUUCGAAAGGGAGAUUAAUACCGCAUAAGACAGUAGCCGGGCAUCCAGCAGCUGUUAAAGAUUUAUCGAUGUAUGCUGGGCAUGCGUCCAAUUAGCUAGUUGGUGAGGUAACGGCUCACCAAGGCAAUGAUUGGUAGGGGAACUGAGAGGUCAAUCCCCCACACUGGCACUGAGAUACGGGCCAGACUCCUACGGGAGGCAGCAGUAGGGAAUAUUGGGCAAUGGACGCAAGUCUGACCCAGCCAUGCCGCGUGCAGGAUGAAGGCGUUAUGCGUUGUAAACUGCUUUUAUACAGGAAGAAACGACUCUUGCGAGAGGCAUUGACGGUACUGUAUGAAUAAGCACCGGCUAACUCCGUGCCAGCAGCCGCAGUAAAAC